ensembl:lncRNA ZBED3-AS1 ZBED3 antisense RNA 1
GCGCUUAUUGGUGUUCACCAAAACACCAGCAUGGUGUACCAGCUUUGGCUAGAUGAUGCUCAGGAAAACACAGAUCCUGGUGCCGAACAUGAGGACAGGGCAGGCCGAAGGAGAAAGUGGAAGGAGGGGAGCUUCUCUCUCAGCCUCAUCCUUCUGGGCCUGGAUGCUGGAGAGUCAUGAGGUGCUUCAGAGUACUCUGGGUGAGGAGGGAAAGAUGGUGCCCACCACAUGGAGGCCAGCCUAGGUCUUGUAUGAAACCUGUGAGGCCAGCAGGAGCCAGGCCGUGGCCUGCUGACUGCAUCUGCCAGAUGACUACCAAUGUGAGAUUCUCUCUCCCUUGCUGUCUUUGAAAAAGCAAGUUGCCAUGUGAAGAGGGCCAUAUAGCAUAGGAGCUGAAGGCAGCCUCCAACUGACGGCAAGAAAAUGAGGUCCUCAGUCUGACAACCUGCAAGAAACUGAAUGUUCUAAAAGCCACAUGAGCUUGGGAGCAGAUCUGACCCCAGCCAAAUCUCUGAAGUCCGCAGGCAGGAAAUGAAGAUCAGAAAAAGGCUAUUGUCUCAUGAAUAUGAGCCAGACUCCACAGAAGCUGGAGUCCUUCAUUAUGGAGCUAAACACAUACACCUGGCUUAGGAGUCAGAAAAACUGAAAGAGAAUUCAGGGAAGUAGAGAAAUUGCAAGCCCAGAUGCUGCUUCAUACCAAAGAAGCAAGUCAGCAGGUCAGCAACAAUGUGUAUCAGUUCCAAAAUGACUUACACAGGUACCAAGACAAGACAUUAUAUACACUUAUAUAGUCAAAUACUUUAAAACUGUUAACAAACUUGCUACAAUUGUCUCAUUUGUCUUUUAACCUUAAUAUCACAGAUCAAGUUUGUAAUCUCAAAAGUUCACCCUGGCUGCUGUGUGGAGUAUUCUCUUAUCUGCUCAUAUUACACUGUGCUUAUUCAUUCAUCAGUUAAUGGAAAUUUGGGUUGUUUCCUGAUUUUGACUGUAAUGAAUAAUGUUGCUGUAAACAUUCAUGUACAGUUUUGUGUGGACAUGCUUUUCUUUCUCUUGGGUAGGUUCCUAUGAGUGGAAUCACUAGAUUGUAUGGUAAAUGUAUGUUUAACUUUUAAAGAAACUGUCAAACUGUUUU